UCGUCAAUGUGACAAAAAACCAAUUCUUCUCCUUUAGGACAGAUUAGCGUAGCAUAUUAAAUUGCCGUUAAGUUAAGACAUGCAUGAUUUCUUCUUCCUUUUGCAUGUAAAUAUCAAAUGCAACGACUUUACCAUCUGAUUCUCAUAAACAACCUUCCACCUUUAGCGCUCUUCUUGAUUUCUCUUCUGCAUUACAUCCAGUUAUUUUUUCUUGCAUCUCAACCCAAAAGACGGCAACAAAAAAAUAUAUACUCAAAGAACGAGAUCGUGUUUUCAUAAAUUCCAUCGGAGAAGAAGGAGGGGGAGGAAAAAUCUGAAUCAACAUAAAAGAGAAGGAAAAAAUUGGAAGAAGAAAAGAGGUGUUUGUAGAGACAAAAAGGAGUAAUCUUUAUACAUUGGUAGAAUUGGGUAAAGUUCUUUUAUGCACUUCUCACAAAUCCGAAUGAUUAUCCUUGCUCAUUCCCUAAAUAUCAUCAGAUACUGUUAAUUUUCCCGCUAUUAGUAUAAUGGUCACCUGUAACCCGCGCCUCUCGUUCUAGAUGCUAAUUCCUUUGACAUAACUGCGAAAGGCGAAUUGAAGAAGAAGAACAAUAAUGAAUGAGAGGGAGGGGGAUCUGAGGGUUCCUCUAAUCUCUUUCAUGUUAUGUAUUUGUGUACUUAUUGGUGGGAUUUUCCUUUUUCUUUACCUCUUUGUGCCAAAUUUAUCUCAACCUUGGUUUCCUGCAAUAGCUCUAAUCUUGAUUGGAUUUCCAUGGCUACUUUGGCUCUUUACUUACAUGUAUACAUGCAUAAAAAGAUGUUGUGGCUUUAGCAGCACCGAUAAUCGCCAGGUUUCUAGAAGGGCAUCCAGGGCGCCCACAAUGGCAAAUUCUGGUAUGGCCAGAAAUGUUUCAUUGGCAAAUUCUCAGCACAAUAAUAGUGAUGGAAAAAGUGUACAAUUUGGUGCUGCAUCUAUUAACUCCUCUCAUGGAAGCAAAGAUGGUGGUGCAUCAAUCAGCUCUUCACAAGAAAUUGAGAUGCCUUUAACAUCAUCAGCUCCUUCUUGAUGAAAUGUAUAUCGGGAUAAAUGAGUAUAUACAAUGGGUUCAAUAUCAGCUGGAAUUAAACGUGAAAGAGAUUGGAUUCUGAAGAUGAUUCCAACAACGACAUCAGGAGCUUUGCAGAUGAUAUACUUGUAAGUAGAAUAGCACAAACAGAUUUGUUUGUCUUAGUGUAUGUAAAGAUUUAAUAUAAAUUUAGCUUUGUUCUUAUGUAAUUUUCUCUUCUAUCUCCUCCCAUCCUCUGCUUCUUCUUUUUUCCCUCUUGAAAUGAAAUCAGGAAUAUGCUUUCA